UGGCUAUAUAGCGUUGAAACACCGGUUCCCGUACGAUCACCGGAGUUAAGCAACGUCGAGUUGGGACAGUACCUAGAUGGGUGAUCGCUUGGGAAUGCCAGGUGCUGUAAG